UAAUUUUUAAUUUAAAUAAAAUAUUUCAUUUACAAUGAAAUUAUAAUAUAUUUUUAUAUAUUAAAAUUAU
rnacentral:tRNA from 1 species